UGGUAAAAAUGAUUGCCCUCUACUCUGAGCGGCCUGAAUGAAAAUAGCCUUUCUGAACAUCU
ensembl:snoRNA